rnacentral:rRNA from 1 species
CUACAUUAAACCCAUUAACAGUCGCGCAAAGGGCGCCCUCUCCGCUAUGCCACGUCGGUUCACUGUGCUCGUCGAUUGGGCAAGUUGUGUUGCUUUCUAUUGGCUGGUCGUGGCUGAUAUACCCAAGAGAAAGCUUACGAGGGAAGGGAAAGAAGGCCUCUGUACGCAUGAACCCCACCUUCUCCAUCCCUACACGCAACCUCUUCCUCUCCUCCGCAUCUUCUGUCAGGGGCCCUUGUGGCUGCAGCAGAGGGCAGUCAAGGGGGCGAGCAGGAUGGGUCCAGCCGAUUUCUUCGCCGGAUCUGGAGCCCAGGGGCGACGCCGACGAGCACGCAGCCACGCCAACGUCGUUGCCUCGAGAGAGGAGUGGGUGGGAGGAGAAGGCGGCGGCGGCUCGAGGGCAAGGGUCGGAUCUUCUCGCCUGAUUCAUGGCCGUGUUGAUGCUGCAUGGAAGCAUUGGAAGCGAAAAAAACCCUUCACAUACCUAAAUGUAAGUGAAUCUCCCCGUCUUAAUUUAGGUUGACCUUGCAGUCUCGCUUACCCGUUCUGCUUCGCCCAUCGUUCAAUGUAGUUUAUGUUGAAUAGCUAGGUUGGUCCAUGAGAUCAUAUAUUGUACUACCGUUUAUUUAACCCAACUGCUACAUUGAAUAUUGAUAAUCUGAACACAAAAUGUUGCAAUUUUCAUUUUGAACUUUUCUGUGCAAGUGGAUAAAGCUAGGUCUGUACUUCUGGACCAAAACCAGUUUUGCAUGGUCAUUUCUUUAAAGAAAGGUUCAGAGCUUCUCAGAAGGAAAGGAAAAUACCACCUGAACUUUUAGCUUUCCACAUAUGUGUGAUCACUUGCUGAGUUUUCCACAUCAUAAGCUUUUCUUAUGAGUUUGUGGGAUUUUAGUUUUUUCAGGUCUCGCAGUUCUGAGAUUUAAUUCAUGUGCAACCGUCACAAACAGAUCUGUCUUGCAUUCUAAAUAUUGCAGCCUUGAACUUAUUUACAUUUCAGUUAACCUUUGUCCACAAGUGGCAGCCAGUUUUCUGAAUCUGUAAAUUGUAGUUGAAUUCUUAAUACAUCUAUGCCAUCUAUAGAAAAGCAUGACCUCCCGUGCCACUGUGCAACACCACAACGAUGAACAUCACUUGGCAAACAAGUCUCGAAUCAAUUUCGAUUUGCGAUGGUCUGCUCAGAGGGCGUUCUGGCGAUGUGUGGUGCUGUCCUAUUUAGUAGUGAUGUAUCUCUUCUACAAUCUUUUGGUAAUUUUGUAGAUUAGGAUGUUUAAUUCUUUUUCAAUGAUAGUUUAAUAGUAGUCAAGAUAUGGGAUCUGCAUGUCCAUUUUAUUUUAAUGCAUAUAUAUGUUUUUACUCUUAAUUACAUCUCUGGGAGUAUUAUGCCCAUUCAAGAAGCAAAAGCCAUAGCCUCUCCAACAAGGUUUUCAAUAUAAAGGGGGAAAUUUGAAGGUGUAUAAGGUAAAUAUGCAGAGCUCUAGGUAUAUUCCGUAAUAAAUUUUCUUUAUACAUUUCAUUAUAAUUAAAAAGGAAAUACGAAUGAGGUGCCUGUUGUCAGUUGCAAUCACAAAUCUAAGAAUCCCCCUUUAAAUGUAAUUGAUAAAUUGAUCAAAGAGUAAUUGUUUGCCUCCCUUCCCCCACUGCGUAGAGAGUGUGAGAACCACACAGCUAUAGGGCUAACCCUGAAUGAUUGCUUAUCAAUUUCAGCUACUACAAUUAUUGUGUAGAUUCAAGUAGUGUGUUGUAGUUACCAUGUCAUUUAUUUACACAAGAGAAGUUUUUGUGAAGCACCAGCAUAGGAUAGCUUUUGAAAGUUUUGGGAAGCCCUGAAGGACAUGUUUAGAAGUGGCUGCAUAGAUGGUAUGCAUAACAUUGCUUUGCAAACCUUUAGGAUGCUAGAUUGAAUCACUAGGAAGAAGACUAAUGGUGGCAUGAUAUUGUGUUCUGUCAUGCCCUCACUCCUUUUCCCUCUUGUCAACGGUACUACUUUCAGGUGAAAUACGCAGAGAACAAUUUGAAGGAGUACAUCCACGGAGACGAUGAUAUCCUACCAGUCAAGCUUGGAGAUGGACCACCAUCACGACGAUCGCUUCAUGCUUGGAACUGACAAGAGGGCCACCAUCACGACGAACUAAUCAUAGUUUCGCCACCACCCAAACAUCCAGCAAGGUGACAUCUGCACCUUCCUUUUCAAGCACAAGCAAGGGCGCUGCCUCUCUCUCUCAUGUGCACCGUCUCUAGACACACCACCGUCAGCGGCAUCUAUCGUCUAUACAUAUGAUCCAUGUAUGGUCUUUAGUUUCUCUCUUAUGACUUAAUAUGUCUAUGCUCUGAUGACCCAGUGAACUAUGUAUUUAGUUUCUCUCUAAGACUUAAUAUGCCUGUGCUCUGAUUAUCCAGUGAACUAUGUCUCUCUUUUGGAGAUCGCCCACCUUUGGGAGGAUGGUAGAGUUUGAUUUCAACCGAUCGCCAUGCUCUGUGAUACCUUUUAGAGGAUGUUGAGUUUGAUUUCAACAGAUCGCCAUGCUUUGUGAUCAGUCAUCCAUCUUGUAAGACUGUCACCUCCCUGUUAAAAUUGACAUGCGUGCUUUAUGAGCUAAUAUUGUGCUGCUGCAGUUCU